GAUGAACGCUGGCGGCGUGCUUAACACAUGCAAGUCGAACGGGAAACCUUUUAAUGAAGCUUCGGCAGAUUUAGCUGGUUUCUAGUGGCGGCCGGGUGAGUAACGCGUGGGUAACCUGCCUUAUACAGGGGGAUAACAGUCAGAAAUGACUGCUAAUACCGCAUAAGCGCACAGGACCGCAUGGUCCGGUGUGAAAAACUCCGGUGGUAUAAGAUGGACCCGCGUUGGAUUAGCUUGUUGGUGGGGUAACGGCUCACCAAGGCGACGAUCCAUAGCCGGCCUGAGAGGGUGAACGGCCACAUUGGGACUGAGACACGGCCCAGACUCCUACGGGAGGCAGCAGUGGGGAAUAUUGCACAAUGGGGGAAACCCUGAUGCAGCGACGCCGCGUGAAGGAAGAAGUAUCUCGGUAUGUAAACUUCUAUCAGCAGGGAAGAUAGUGACGGUACCUGACGAAGAAGCCCCGGCUAACUACGUG
rnacentral:rRNA from 1 species